ensembl:snRNA U6 U6 spliceosomal RNA
GAGUCCUUGUUUUGGCACGUCUAUUAAAAUUGCAAAUGUAAAGAAUAUUAGCACGGCCCCUGCUCAAGGAUGACACACAAAUGCGUGACGCAGGCUAUAUUUAA